AUGCCUUAGCCUUCUUCUUCAUUUGUCUAAAGAUCAGUAUUUCAGGCGACUUCCGGUUCCAUGCUGCCACCCGUAGGUGUUUUUGCGCUUCGUGAAGACACACGAAUCCUUCAGAAGACUCUACGUAUACUACGUGCAUGCUUAUUGUGUUUACAUGACCUUUGUGGAGGACUGUCCACACUAAUCUGACUUCGAUAUGGGUUGAAUUUGUUGUUCUCCGGUGACAGUAACACGGUGGAUUCUCCAAAACACAAACACUUUGUUCCCUGAAAAUCUAUUGGCUCUCCAUUUUGUGCCUCUGGGGAGAGAAUUACAGUUGGAUCUGUGUGGUUGUUACUCUGCUCAUUGGAUGUGUUAGCAUUGCAGUCUCUAGCUGCUGGUGGACUGUGGGUUAUCUGCAUUUCCUCCGUGUAAACCCUGCCACAGAAACUUCUAGAAUUACUGAAGUCAUGGAAAGGACACAUCCCCUGGGAACAAAACAGUAACACACAGACGUUCCAGUCAGAGACGCUGCCUUCACGUACAGACUGUACUCUGUGGCAGGAAUCAGAUCUUCCAAAACCACGUCCUGGUUUGUGCUGUCCACAGUCACAUCUAGAAGAAACCCUCAGUCAAAUCCAUUUCCCCGU